AGAUCAACACCCUAUAUCAAGGUGCGCAUAAUUAUUAGGCAGCUUCUUUUCCUCAGGAAAAAAUGGGCCAAAAAAGAGACGAUGAAAAGUCACAAAUUGUAAAAAGUAUUUCAGAGGGAUGCAGCACUCUUGACAUUGCUAAGAUAUUGGGGCGUGAUCACAGAACCAUCAAAUGUUUUGUUGCAAAUAGUCGACAGGGUCUCAAGAAACGUGUUGAGAAACAAAGACGCAAAUUAACUGCCAAAGAUUUGAGAAGAAUCCAACAUGAAGCUACCAGGAACCCAUUGUCCUCCAGUGCUGUCAUAUUCCAGAACUGCAACCUACCUGGAGCGUCCAGAAGUUCAAGGUGUUCAGUGCUCAGAGACAUGGCCAAGGAGCAGAGGUGAGCGAUGCAGCGGGCAGGAGGUGGGGGAUGGGGAGGGAGAAACGAAGCCUCCCUUACUACGGCCUGUGGUCGGCAGACUUUCUCGGGUGUCUGGAGGAGCUGUGGCCGCAGGCAGCUCAUGGAGGACCUGGACCUGGCUCCAACCUUCUGGGCUCACUUCCCCAUCGGCAGCGAGCUGGGCUACGACAGUCAAGAGUCUGAAGCGCAACCUGAGUGAGGAAGACGAGGGGAAAGGAGAAGAUUUAAGAGUCAGAGGGAUGUGCAAAGGUUCCCACAUACUGAGUAUGAGGAAGAGUUUGUAGGGUACAGAUGUGUGAUCACUAAUGACGGGGGGAGGGAGAGACGGUGUCAGUGGGGGUCUCUGGCCUUCGUUCCUUUUGUUUGCCAAAAUGUCAUUUACAGACAAAGAAAGGUACAACAUGUAAUCUACUCAAUGACAUGUCAGCUCGAUCUGUUAUUUAGGAUUAGGGAGGUGCAGAGCGGAGUAAAAUCUGUUGUCAUCAAUCAAAAUGGUAUUAUUUGAUCCACACCUCUCUAUAUGAUGCAGUAUACAAUGAUGAAACGAUGUAAAGGUGUUUUGUUGAGCUGUUAAAGGGUUAAAUGCAAAAGUAAACAAAAUAAAAAUUGACUUCAGGAUUUGUGUUUUGAGUGAAGUGUGUCAGUUUAUGAGAUCAAGCGUGAGGAGCAGGAUGGAAGCAACGUUCAAUCUGAUUUUACGGCGUUUCAAUUCCUGCCUGACAGCAAACAUGCAGUUACAUAAUGACCUGAUGAGGUGACCUGAUUCUGCCUUGUGUGUGUUUGGUGUCCAACAAUGCUCUGAUGCAGAGAUGCUGAAUGAAAGAGUCAAUGUGUAUCCCUGUUCAGAGGCAUCUACUGAAUAAAAACAGAAGGUAAAUCUGUUGGCACGUCUGCCCUGAAAGCAGAGGCUUGCCUUUCACUAAGCUCUACAGCAGGGGUGGGGAACCUUUUUUCCUAUCAAGGGCCAUUUUUAUUUACAACAUCCUUCGAGGGCCGUACUAAUUAUUGAACUCAUAACCUCUGCAAAAUGUUUUUAAGACAUAGCCCAUUCAUUUCACUUUUCUUUUAUGCUAAAUGCAAAAAAAGCAACUUUUUUAUCCAUGUAUCUUUCUGUUUUAUCAGAAAACCUUUAUUAGUCCCACAACGGGGAAAUGUAUCUCGUCACAGCAAAAGAACAUAUGAAGUAAAAAGGCAGUACACAAUAAUUAAAUAGAAUAAACAAUAAUAUAAGUACCAAGUGGUUGAUAGAAAUAAAGUGAGUAUUGCACAUGGCAGUGAUAACUGCACAGCAGUGGUGGAACAGUCUGUUCUUGGUGUGGUGGUCUACCUCUCUAUCUGUCCAUGUUUGUAUGUUCCGCUCUGCAGAGAGCUGCUUGUUGGGCCAAACUCCGCCGAAGAGCGUUAACUUUAUCCAAACGCACUCAGCUCGUGCAGUGUUGAUGUUUGUGCAGUAAUGACGCUCGAGAUUAUUUUUAAUCACCGCAAGCGCGUCCACACAAACUAGGCACACUGAACUUUUACUUCCUCAAAGAAAUAAUCGUUCGUCCAUUUCUCCUGGAAAGUGCGACAUUCUGCAUUGAAGCUUUCUCUGUUUUACACUCGCCACGCUGCGUUCACGGAAGUCAACGACAGUCUCGUUUAAUAUUGUUUUUUUAACUUUUUUAAAUUACAUUUGUUGACAUGACCACGUGAUGACACGUUCCACUCGUGUUG
ensembl:lncRNA